rnacentral:lncRNA from 1 species
UCAUUUAAAUUUCCUGGUUCCAUGCACAUGUUAAUAGUGACUCAGAAACACCCUCUGAUACUCAGUGUGUCAGUCACACCGGGAUUCAUUCACUGAGUUCCGGGAGCAAGGCAGCUUUUCAAGGCUGGGCACUAAACAGGGGGAGCUUUGUGAGUGCCUAGACUCCUCUGCCGGCCACCUGCUCUUCCUCUCCUUGGCUUCCACGAAGAAAGCUGCAUGAGAGCAGGGAAUUGCUUUGUCCAAUGCUAAUCACUAAAGCUUAGAAUACUGCUUGUUACAUGGGCCAGAAGUCAAGAAUAGGAGAGCAGCAGAAAACCACUAAAUAUGACAGCCAGCUUCACAUGGUUGGGGACCUCUGGCUGGUGAUGUUACCUGCCACAGGAUGUGCCCUGCCCAAUCAGCUUGCCAAGUCUAGCUUGUGCACUGGUUCCUGAGUUCUUGUCCUGUGCCCAAGAAGAAUGAGGAUGUGCUGACCAUUGAAGGAGUCUUGUUCUGUUGACCAGGCUGGAAUGCUGUGGUGUGAUCUCGCCUCAUUUCAACCUCCACCUCCCAGGUUCAAGCGAUUCUCCUGCCUCAGCCUCCCGAGUAGCUGAGACUACAGAGCCACCUCUUAGUUGGACUAUUUCACUGCAACAGUCCCCUUCAGCUGGUGAGUCUCUCAAGUAAUCCGUAAAACAGGUUGGAAAAUUUCUUCCUCAGUUACUGUUGCAGCUGAAGGGAAGUGUGACCUGGCAGCAGGUAAAGAUGAAUUGGGAAUGUGUACCGCUUCUUCAUGCAACUUGUACAUUCAGGGCCUGCUUGGACCUCAUGUGGUAUAUACCACUUCCACUUGAUGGAGUCCUACUGGCAUGCUUGACUUUAUGGCAUGGUAGAUCAGAUAUUCAAUUAAUCAAAAGUGUGAGUAUCUUUAUGGUUUGUGGUUCAGUACCUCAUAGGACACAGUAGCAAGUUAACCAUCAUUUUUCAAUUGAGAAUAGUUACUUGCUGAAAAGUACAUUUUUGUACAUUUUUUUUCAGAACUGUGAAGACUUUGUGUAUUACAGAUUUCUGCUGGUUGAAUCUGCCAAAUGCAGUUUAAGUAGAUACACUGAGUUAUGACAGCAAGAUAGAAAAUUGUUGAUACUGUGGACAAACAUCUCUCUCUUUCUUUGAGUCUUCAGGAAAUCUAGCAGUCUUUUGGAUUAUUGAGUAAACGGAUUGAAGAACCACAUCACAAAGUAUUACAUGUGCAUCUCUUUUGAUGGUGGUGUCUGCGAAGUGCAGCAACUUAUUUGUAAAUUUAGAGGAAAUAUUCUAACACACUCUAAACAAUUAGACACAUAGACAUUUCCUCGAAUAUAGCAUACUUUCUCACAACAUUAAUUUCCCAUUUUUUGGUACGCAUGCAUCAGUAUCUCUUAGCUCACCGUAUCUAGCUUCUAUCGGCAUGCUGUCGUCAGUGCAGUUUUUAAGUAUGAAUUCUAUGUAAGAGUAAGA